rnacentral:lncRNA from 1 species
CCUGACCCACCAAAACAACCCACCCGUUUACCCUGAAUAUAAAACCUCCUUUAUAAUUUUCCCCCAUUUUGAACCCCAAACCUAAGAAGUCAGAUAUGCUGCGCCCCUUUCUACUGUUCAUCUUCCCCAACUCUCAACUCGCCCUCAACUCACCAUUAAUUCACCCGAGUUCACUCAAAAUGGUCCCCCCCUCCACGUCAUUUGAUUCCCAACGGUUUUGUCAGUAGGGAGUACGAAUUUUCUCUCCCAAAUAGCACGAUUUCGGAUUCAAAAGGACAAUUGUUGGACGAAUGAGAGCGUGGAUAGAUGAAAAUCGAUCCAUGCCUUCCAUUUGUCCUAAAAAUUGUUCAAAAAUCAGAAGAUUUGAGAAUUUUCGAGGGUUAUAUAUAGGAGGUAAGUCUUCUUUUUCUGGGGGGGGGGGGUGAAGGAAAAUAAAAGAAAAAGAAAAAAAUCAGGAGAAAAAUCGGAAAAAUCUUCAAAAAUUUAGUAGUGAAAUUUCUAGUGUUUAAAGCCUUUUCUUCUUCUGGAGCUUUUUCGGAUUUAGCAUCUUUUCAAAGACGAAAAUAUGAGCAUGGUUUUGGAUUGAAGAUUAAAUUGGAGUUUUUUUUAUUGCUGGGGUUUGGAGUUUUGGCACUAUUGGUUUUCUGUCCAAUUUUCUGUUGCAGUUUGGAUUUGUUUGGCUGAUCUGUUAAGCUGCUGAUACUGUCGCUGAAUUUAUUCUCCUAUUUCAGAGUUUCGUUCGAUAUUUUCAGUUGUUUUUUGCUAAUAGGUAUGUUUCAACACCGUUGUAUUCAUCUUCUAUUUAAAUAAAGUCGUUGAUUUCUGGUUUGGUUUGCUGAAUGCUUGUGAUAGUAUGUCAACAUGAACUUAAAUAGACCUAUUUUAAACGAUUUAUGGAGUUAAGUACUAGAGUUUUGUUAGGUCAAGAUUUGAGGGCAAGCAUGAAGCCAACCACUGAGGAAAAGAAUUUUGGUCCCUGUUUAUUUUUAGAAGUCAAGUUCCUGUAUUUUUGAGUUUCUUUUACUGCAAAAAUAUUCCUUGUUCUACUGUUGACAUGUGAGAACAAUUGAAGUGAGUUUUGGUUGAGUCUGCUACAUCACUUGGUAGCAAAAUUGCAUUAGUUUGGUACAGCUAACAAUCCAUAGUUUCCUUAUUGUGCGCUAUGCACACUUAUGUGUAUUAGUUGGUCAAAUGGCCUAAUUUCCCUGGUCUGGUGAUUUCGCUUAAAUAUUUGGAUAAAUCUCAUGAAUUUGCUCGAACAUAGUUGUUUUAUUGAGUGCCUGUAUUCGCUCUGUUCUUUUUCUGCAAAACUAGUAGUGUUCAAUUUCAAGUUUGGCCUUAAUAAAAAUGGCAUCAGAUUGUUAGCAAAAAUAGAUUCACUUUGAGGAUUUCUACAAAAAUGGUAAUUUAACUUAGAUUUAUCAAUUGAAAAGGAUGCUAUUAGGAGCAUUGAACGAAAUUUGUCCUUUGGUUAAAGUUUUAGAACAGAACCAAGGCAUUCAUAUGAUGAACAAUCCAUAAAGUCAUGCUAUUUGGCAUUGUCUCACUGACAGCAAUAUGUAUGCAUUUAUUUGAUCUUGUACUUGCACUUCUCUUUUCACAAGACACAAUUACCAUGGCACUUCAGCCUUGCAUCCAGAUGGAUUUUUGAAUUCCCAAAGUUUUAAGUUUAUCAAGGUAAGAACCCCGUAGAAUCACAUUUGACACUAGACCUUCAUAUUUUUAUGUUGCUAUUUCUAUUUUUCAAAUAGUAUUAUCUUUUUUUGGUAAGUGUAUCAAUCUGUUGCUCUGUAUAAUUUUUCCACUCUCUACUUUGAUAGAAGUUAGGUUCUCAAAAUUUGUACCCUGCUCCUUGGUUAUUGUCUCAGUCUUUUGUUCAUUGGAAUAGUUGAGACCUAAAAUUCUUCAAUUUUGGAAUGGCCAAUAUGUAUCAGUUCAUAGAUUUCAUGCCAACUCAAAUAAAAUGCAAUUUCAAUUGUUGUAAUUGUGUUUGGGAGUAUGACUCCACUUUGGAUGGGAGUCUGCCGAUCAGGUUUGAAGAUUGAAUGAGCUUGAGGCCCAAUUUUGUUAUUCAACAAUGUGGAGUUCAUUUGGACUCACUGCCGUUCACAUGCAAGCUUCUAAAUUGGGCCUGUUAUUUUGGGCCCAUUCGCACCUCUUAUUUGAUUCAUCAGAUUCCACAAGACCAAAGAAAAACCUUUUUAAUAAUAAGUUGUAGUACUAAUGUUGCUAUUGACCAUUGAGUAGUGUAGUAAAGUAAUAAUUUAUUCGUUGACCACUUUGGAUAAGCCUUGUUUGAAAAGCAUCGUAGUUUGCUUUAGGAUCGAUUUAGACUAGUAUCGUGAUUGUGUAUACGUUCACGUAACAUAAUUGCAAGUUUAAUUCUAAAAAUGACUCGAGGGAUGCGUUCGCGCAACUUCAACUAAACUUUUCUUAAUAAAAAAUAAACAAAGUGUUAUUAAUUGUGGACACGUUCGCGUGACAUGAUUUUAACGUGCCAAAGGAAAAGAGUAUACGUUCGCGUAACUCAAUUCUUUAAUUACGAAUAAAUCAAGUGAUUAAAAGCGGGUAAAAAGAUAAUUGCACGUAGGUCCUAAAAAUGAAUAGUUAAAUAAUUUUAGCCAAGUAUAAAUCGCUAAGCAACCGUGCUAGAACCACGGAAUCCGGGAAUGCCUAACACCUUCUCCCGGGUUAACAGAAUUUCUUAUCUAGAAUUUCUGGUUCACAGACUUUAAAAAAUAAAACUUCCUCGACUUGGGAUUUUCAAAUAAACCGGUAACUUGGGACACCAAUUAAAAUAUUCCAAGUGGCGACUCUGAUUAAAUAAUUUAAAUAAUUCCAUCUCGAAUAAUGUCCCUUUAAUUGGAAAAACUCCAUUAUACCCCUCCUCGGGUGUGUAAAAAGGAGGUGUGACAUAUGUUCUCAUUUUCGUACACCAUAUCUUCUUAGUCAUAUGCAUGAGUCGUAAUAAAAAACCUCUCUGGUCAUAUCAAACAUUUCUGACUGCUAGGAAUUUUGCCCUUAGUCUCUUUUUUGUCCAAAACUAUAAUGACCAAUUCUAGGCUAGUCACGAUCAAAUUCUUAACUUUCUAUAUUGUAGGGUCUGACAUUUAAAUUAUCAUCAUCCAACUUGUGGCUCAAUUGCUAAGAAUUAAAAAUGAAAUUGUUCUGUGAGGUAAAACACAUUCGGAUGCACAACCAUGCAUAAACAUGUCCUUCAGAGAUAUCAUUACCUUAUAAAUCACUUCCUACACAAGCUGGCGAGUCUUGGUUUUAAUUCAGACCUAAAACAUGUGACAAUUUUGCUAUGAUUACUGUUCUUACAUUUUCUCUUAGCACCCAUAGGCAUCACCGUUUACUCCCAAGUUAAAGGACAUUGAAUACACUGGAAAUUGGAGAUCUGGUAACUGAAUAAUUGAUAAUUGGCAUACCGAAUACCCAUAAACUUGCUAGCUGAAAGGCCGCUAACUGGUAACUGAGAUAAACUGAUAAUCAUAAAACAUGAUAAUUGCUUUUGUACUUUCUGAUAAGAUUAUGCUCUAAUCUGUACUACUAUCCAUUGCAUCCCACUUCCAACAUCCUCUCAAGUCUCAUUUGUUACCAACUUAUACUCCAUAAUUAUACCCCAAUGGGAAUCAUCUUCACUAAGAACUUGAGUUUUUUCCCGCACGUCAUUUGGGCAUUCGAUACGUUUGGAGUUCGAUAGGAAGAGAAGGAUAACUAUUGCUCUAAGCUUCAUGGCACGAUCUAGAGUAGAAAGAACUGAGACAAUCCCGGAUGUCUUGGUAGUUAACCGUUUAUAUGAGUGGACGACACACACAUAUUGUCACGCCCCAACGUUGGGAGGCACGACCAGUGCUCAAUCGAGUGAACCCAACUCAAUACGAUUAAGGAAACCAUGCUUACGUUUAUUUAGACAAUAUGAAAAGUUGUACAUUCAUCAUUGUUAGUUCAUUUCAUAUCACAACCUUAAACCGUAGUUAAGUUCAAAGAUUCCAUACAAUUGUAAUUUAGAGAAAACAAGAGUUAGAAUUACAGCAUAGUCCAUAGACCUAUCCAACACCCGUACAUAACCCACACAAACGUCUACGAAGCCUCUAAGGAUACAAAAGACAAUGAUGGCAACGCCAACAACAUGGCCCCAGCUAUGCCUCAAAAGUAGAUAUCUAUAACAAAAGAUGUACAACAGAACCCCUUGAAGGAGAAAGGGGCUCACCAAGACUUUGAGAGGAGGAUACUCUGCUAGGUGCGAUCGGCACUAUCCGCUAUGGAGCCACCUACAUUCAUUUAAAAAUGUAGCGCCCCGGCAAAAGGGACACGUUAAUACCAUGGAAUAGUACUAGUAUGUAUAACUAAACACCAUUUUAUUAGAAAGCACUAUCAUACAAGAACAAGGAAAUCAAGAGAGACAAUCGAAGCUUUAACCGAAUACCACAUCAUUAAAUAAAGAAUCAUACAACUUUCACAUGAUUUCCAUAACCUUAGUUUGGGGCAUUUCAUAUGUUCAUCAUUGUUCACAAUACCACCGCUGUCUUGAGCAGAGUCCGAUCACGACCCAAUCAGCUAGGUUGCCUCAUUUGAGACAUAUACCUCAAUCACCAUCUCAUUUUCCUUUUUCGGGAUUCAAUAUCAGCACAUUACCACCAUGUGUGCGGCAUGGUGUCCGAUCACAGCCAGAUCGUCUAGGCCGCCUUACCUAGGAGUUGUUCCUUUCUCAUUAAUCAUCUCAUUUAAAUUUUUAUUUCACAUAUAUCAUAUCAAUUCAUUGGCACGUAGGGCCACAAUUUCCACAUCAUGUCCACUUUCAAUACAAACAUUGCAAUUUAGGAUAACAGGUGCAAAUAAGAGCAAUUCAAGUGUAAACAUAGAUAAGAUUUCACACAGUUGGCAUGACAAUCUCAGUUUAAAUCCUGACAUUGAGGUCUAGGCAUUCCAACACAUGGUUUAUAUUCUUUACACAUCUUUAAAUUAGCAAGAAUAGUAUAUUAAACAUUUUGAGGCACUCCUAUCACGUAUACACGGUUGCAAAACCAAUUCAUGUGAAAUAACAAUCAAUUCAUCAAUCCAAUUUUAGUCUUAUCAUAUUUGCACAUACACCAACGGAGCUUGAUUUCUAAUAAAAGGGAGUUUUAGCCAUACAUACCUCAAAGAGUUUUCCCCUAUAAUACACCAACACCUCUAGCAAUAACAAUCUAUAAGGAGAUAGCAUAAAUCUAUUAAUAAUUAGGAAGAUUACCCAUGGUGUAACUCUCUUAGGAAUUUCAUCAAACACCUAACAUGUGGAGUANNNNNNNNNNNNNNNNNNNNNNNNNNNNNNNNNNNNNNNNNNNNNNNNNNNNNNNNNNNNNNNNNNNNNNNNNNNNNNNNNNNNNNNNNNNNNNNNNNNNNNNNNNNNNNNNNNNNNNNNNNNNNNNNNNNNNNNNNNNNNNNNNNNNNNNNNNNNNNNNNNNNNNNNNNNNNNNNNNNNNNNNNNNNNNNNNNNNNNNNNNNNNNNNNNNNNNNNNNNNNNNNNNNNNNNNNNNNNNNNNNNNNNNNNNNNNNNNNNNNNNNNNNNNNNNNNNNNNNNNNNNNNNNNNNNNNNNNNNNNNNNNNNNNNNNNNNNNNNNNNNNNNNNNNNNNNNNNNNNNNNNNNNNNNNNNNNNNNNNNNNNNNNNNNNNNNNNNNNNNNNNNNNNNNNNNNNNNNNNNNNNNNNNNNNNNNNNNNNNNNNNNNNNNNNNNNNNNNNNNNNNNNNNNNNNNNNNNNNNNNNNNNNNNNNNNNNNNNNNNNNNNNNNNNNNNNNNNNNNNNNNNNNNNNNNNNNNNNNNNNNNNNNNNNNNNNNNNNNNNNNNNNNNNNNNNNNNNNNNNNNNNNNNNNNNNNNNNNNNNNNNNNNNNNNNNNNNNNNNNNNNNNNNNNNNNNNNNNNNNNNNNNNNNNNNNNNNNNNNNNNNNNNNNNNNNNNNNNNNNNNNNNNNNNNNNNNNNNNNNNNNNNNNNNNNNNNNNNNNNNNNNNNNNNNNNNNNNNNNNNNNNNNNNNNNNNNNNNNNNNNNNNNNNNNNNNNNNNNNNNNNNNNNNNNNNNNNNNNNNNNNNNNNNNNNNNNNNNNNNNNNNNNNNNNNNNNNNNNNNNNNNNAUGUGGAGUAGACUACAAGGUUUAGAAAUGGCAAUUCCUUCCUCCCUCAACCAAUUUUAACAUGAACUACCCAUAUUAGUUCUUUAACAUCACAUACUACAACUUAGUCCCACAUGCAUGGCCUAUUUCUAACCCCCACAACAUAUUUGAACCUUUAACCUCUUGCAUGAAAUUUUGGAAGUAGGACUUACCCAGAUGGAGGACAAUCUAUGGUUAUCUUCCUUGAUUCCUGAAGACUUGAGCAAGAUUUGGAUGAUUAUGAAGCUAGGACCCUCCUUUCUCUUUCUAUAUGCUCUCAUUUCUCUUUAAAAUAAGUAGAAAAUGACCCCAAAUGAAGCCCCUAAACCUAUUUAUGAAAAUGGGGUCGGGUUAUAAAAAUAGAAAAAAUAAACCUCCGAAACCGGGUCUGCAAUCGCAGAAUGGACCGCAAAACAAGAUUGUGGGCUGCAGAAUGCAUCGCAAAAUAGGUGCCCAAAACUGGGCAACACUGGCCCAAUCUGCAACAGAUCUGCGAUCGUAGAGUCAAAAAUGCGACAUAUUUGCGAUCGCAGAUUCGACAUAGGAUCGCAUUUUUCUAGUCUUUGGUAAUUUGAUCAUAACUUUGUGUAGGAAUGUCCAAAUGAUGAAUGGUUUGAAGCGUUGGAAACUAGACUCAAAGACCUUUUAUUUGAUAGGUUAUUAAUCACAUAAAUCCUUAUAUAUUUAGAUAUGCUCGUUCAAAGUGUGGACUAGUUCAAGUACCUUUGGAAUCUUAGCCUAUUAUGAAAUUUUCCCAUUUGGCUUACACUUAGGCCUCUUCUUGGACCCCACCUUACUUAUUAUAUGACUCAUACACUUGUUUACCAAAUCCAAUUCACUUACAUCAUAUCUAUAGCACAUAAAAUAUUAUAAUUAGUCUACCUGGCACCCCGAAAUCCUAUAUUGCUUCGCAAAAUUUUUCGGGGCCUUACAUCCUCCCCCGCUUAGGAUCAUUUGUCCUAGAAUGAGAGGUAGAGCCUGACCCAACAUAACAUAUCUCUUUUCUAUCCUACCUCAAGUCCCUAUAUUUUGACUAACUCCCAAAAAUUUUCAGAAAUUUUGGCAGCAUCUCCUUUGUAACUAGGCCUAUCCACCUGUCAGAGAAUCACCCAAAACUAUCCUAAAAACUCAUCCAUAACUCGACAAAGCACCACAAUGUAUAUACCCAUAACGCUAAUGCUCAGAAUCACAAGAACUAUAUUAUCAUAAUGACACCUGAACAUGGACUGCACAUUUUUAAAUCAUAACACCUAUAAGGUACCUUUCAAGUCAAAGCUUAUUGAUAUACAAUCAAGCAAAAAUAUUUUCCUUCCACGACACUUUCGGCCUUUCAAGGUGGCCUCCUCGACUCAUAAGUUUUGCCAUACCACAUUCACGGAAGCAAUCCCAACCCCUAAACUUAUCUAACAAGGAUGAUAGCUAGAUACCUCGCAUAAGCUAACUAUCCAUUAACAUUCACCUUCAAUAAUUUACACCAGGAUGAUACACAAAUGAUCUCCACCUACCUUCUUAGACAUAGACAUAUGAAAACACAAAUUCAUGAGGAACAAUUAUGGGGAAACAUCAUACUCCUAGUGUGACCUAAUGGGAAAUGUGCUUAUGUACCCUUCAUUAUCAAUUCACAUAACAUCUACAGGGGAAAAUUUUGAGAAUAACCGGUUCACCCCACUGAAUGCUAAAUCUCUAUGCGAACACCCAAACUAAACUCGUGGUGACCUUCACGAUUACUCUAAGAUGUGAUAUAAUAAAUUGACCAUAAAUUACCUACUGAAUAUAUGUGAUCACAGGGUGACUUUGACACAUUUGAACCUUCAAUACCAAAUAGAUCUAAUACAGUAAGGAGCGACGAAGUUCAAGAUUGGGCUAGAAUUAUUCAGGAAUCCAAUUAUGCGCUGAGUAGAGUAUUUCAUGAGGUGACAUGCUAAGAGACACGGGGAUUUCUAUUAAUGAUACUGACAUGGUUUAAUCCAGGUGACUACAUCAAUUAUCAGAUAAAUGAAGCAUAGUGGUAACUAAUAUUCUUAGAUAAGGUGGAUACCAUGUAUGUGAACUUGAUAUUUUUAAAGAAGUGAUCAAGUAGGAUACACCAGUUGUGUCCCUGAGUGUAAGGUAAGUAGUUGAGCUCAAAUGGUAAGACUCUUGCAACAUGGGUGUGAUUGAGGCCGCAAAUGAAAUACGUGGAAUUUGAUUUCACUCCCAACAACAAGCGACACAAGGACUCUAUGCCACAAGCUCUUGAGGAUGGAAAGGAAGUCAUCUACUUAUGAGAUUAUCAUAAUUCGAACAAUCUAACCCUUCCUAAGGCGGUGGAAUGCUAGAGGUAGCAAAAUUCUCAUACAUGACAAUGACGUUGUCAAUACUCCUAGAAGCCGAGUGAGUAGAGAGCCACAUAACCUCAUCAAAUCCGACCCAUUUAUGACUUUUAAAAAGGGGACACACUUUGGUUUGAAAUCAUGGCAAUUUAAGCUUGAACUUUAAGGAAAAUCAUUACUUUUGAAACCCAUGACACAAGCCCUCGUAGUCCUAGAAAAUUGUCAACAAUGGCAAGAUAGUACUUAAAAUCAUUACGAGCUAGUAUAGAAUAAGGCCUCGAAGCGACCGUAUGAAUAAUUAUGAAAGGGUGAGAAGUCUUGAUGCACUUAUCAGAGAAGAGUAACCUAAGUUAUCUAGUCAUAUGGACAAGUAGAGCUGGUAGAUGAUUGUUUAGGAGAAAAUCUCAUAAGGAGUGUGAGCAAUAUCUUUUUAUCCUAACAAAAGGAACAUACCCCGACCCUUGAUGCCAUAAGGCAUAAAAUUAGAUUCACGAGGAGAGUUACCAGAUGAAAAUAGAUAGUAAGGCAGCACAACUAAGAGCACCGCUUGGAAUCGACAAGCUUAAAUAGAGUUGAAGACAUUAGAAGUCUGUAGAAAGGGGAAAUUUGCCCACUCUUAGGGCACCUGUAGAGUACAUAAAAGUGAGGUUAAUUAAAUCAGAUCAUAUAGUUGGGUAACUAGUCGAGACACUGAGAUAAUAUCGCAUUGAAUAUUACGGGUAAACAACAUAUGAUGCAAGACAAAAGAAAAGAAAGUGAUAGAGCUUAUAGAAGUGACCUUUACAUUGUAACCACUAGGAAAGGUGAUAAUAUAAGGGAUUACGAGGAGCUAAAUUUUUUUGAAAGGAGAUCUCGGUAUGAAGUCACGUGAUGUAUAGCUCCAGAAUUCAAAAAUCUAACUAUGGCUAGCAACUCUACUUCACAAUGAAGCUAUUCAACACCCUUCUACAAAACCAGCUAUUACCAGCCAAGUUGGGAGAUGCAAUAAGGCUUGGCUGAGAGAAAGGCUUGACAUAUGAAUGUGUUACUAGGUGUGUUGCUCCUUGGUGAACCCUAAGACUAAAGGUGGGAGUUAGACUGGGAAGAUGAUUGUUAGAUUAGCACAUGCAUAGAUGGUUCAGAAAUUGCGUCAUGUUAUCAACCCUUGAUGAACUUGAAGUGAAGUGGGAACCCAUGUAAUUUGUGGCAUUUAUUAAUCCAUUGACUAGAUAUCUAAAACUGUUUUAAAAUUAGAGAUACUCCUUCUGGUUCAGAGUUCAACCUUUAAGGGUAGCGCUUCUAAGGGGAUAGGAUUGAGAAAGGGAUAAUAUAGUCAAUAGUAAAUGAAGUAGGCUCGUAGUUAAAGUAAGAGGAUGGAUUGACUUGCCCCUGCCACCUAUAAUCCCAUAUCCUUGUUUAGUUAUGUCAAAGUACGGAAAACCCUAGUAAUAUUAGAGGACCAAAAACUAGUUAACCAGAAAAUAAAGGUAUUGUUACGUCUAUCCCAUUUCCUGGAUUCAGCAAAAUUGGUAAAGAAUUUGGGUGGAUUACUAUUGAUAAAAGAAAUUGUGUUUCUAGAUACCAGGGACACAAUUAUGCUCUUUCUUCAGCCCUCGAAAUUGGAACUGAGAAAUGGGUCGUCAACUAGGGGAAGGCCGGGUAUGUCAAAUGAACUAACAAAAAGGGAACUUGAGGUUUUAGGAGUAAACUCAAUAGCUUCACGGCUAGGGGAGCCGCUACAAACAUUAAAAUCAGUUGGACUCGUAGAAACAUAGAGCAAUUAACAUAUAGCGACACUCAAAUAAGUAUUAUGCAAACCAAAGGAGGAGCGAAAAUGCUCGUCUUCCUUACAACCAGAAGAAGAACAACCUUCAAGAAUAAGAUGAGCAACAAGAAUAAGCAGCAUGAUCCAAUUACAUGGAGGCUCAAUGGACCCUAGCUUUGAUGGAGAUUUAAUAAUGUUUAAAAGUGAUUGAGCAGACCAAAUUCAGAAAAUAACCUGUCGGAGAAGAGGGAGAUUCUCGCCAAACAAAUAAAAAUCUUGUCGAUUCUGACCACUAGGCCAAAAUGAAAGCCUCAACAAAGAUAGAGCGAGGGAACUACCAUACUAGAGAUGAUGAUGACACAAGGCAAAAUCUUCAUUAUGACACUAUGUCAAUAUUCAGAUGAUACAAAAACUUGAAGAAAAAUGGCCUAGGGUUUAGAAUAGAGAAGAAUAAAUGGUCGAGAGAAAAUAUCCUUUUAUUUUGUGCAAAAAUAUUAGAAUUGUCCAUCCAUUCAUUCGGGAAGAAAUUCUUCGGGUAUAGUCCCUUGUUAGAGAUUAGAAAGUGUGUCGGAAAUGGUAAUUCUAUAGCUACAACUCAAUUCAAGGACAUGAUUAUAGAGCUCGAUGUCAUAAGAGAUUGCAUAUCAGAAAAUUUGCGGUAGAGUGGAUUCAAGAAAUAUUGUAUCUUGUUCAAAGAGUAGGUGCAUGCAAUGGUUUGUGACUCAACAUUUACUAAGACCAUGCCUAUGAAAGUUCUUCGAUAUGGAUGUACGUAUACAACAAGAGUACGUUGGUUGUGCUAAGUAGUGACUUACGUGGUGACCUUAGGUUGAUAGGGCAAUAGUUGAAUCGAUGCCCCUCUACUCCACAUCCCUAACGUACGCUGGUACCAUGCCGAUAUACUAUAGGAUUUGGUGGUGCAGUGACAUCAAUAGGGACAAUGACACUCCCCUCUUAGCGAUAGGUUCUACCAAUCCCUCCAUAUCUCAAUACAUUCUCCUAACAAGUCCUUGGGCAAUCCCCUCGGACUCAUUGGUGGGAUCACCUCCCCCCCCCCCCCCUCCAUGGUUUCAAAUUCGCGGAUUAUGGUAUCAUGAUUACUCAUUUUGAGAGUAAAGCUUGGAGAGAAAACUAACUCCCUAACUUGAGCUCUAUCACACGAUUGGAGUGUCAAAGAAGGGUGAAAUUUCUAAAUAUCCAUGUAGCCCCCUAAUUAUAGAUGUGGUUGACAACACACCGAUAAGUAGGGCUCUAGUAGACACGGCUCCGAGACAUCCUAGGACACUUAAAACUUUAGGCUCUGAUACCAAGUUUGUCAUACCCCAACCUCGGGAGGCGUAACCGGUGCUCAAUCGAGUGAACCCAACUGAGAAAGCCUUAUCGAACACUUUCUAUCCAACUCAAUAUGAUUAAGGAAACCAUGCUUUCGUUUAUUUAGACAAUAUGAAAAUUUAUACAUUCAACAUUGUUAGUUCAUUUCAUAUCACAACCUUAAACCGUAGUUAAGUUCCAAGAUUCCAUACAAUUGUAAUUUAGAGAAAACAAGAGUGUAGAAUUGCAUCAUAGUCCAUAGACCCAUCCAACACCCAUACAUAACCCACACAAACAUCCAUGGAGCCUCUAAGGAUACAAAAGACAAUGAUGACAACGCCGGCAACAAGGCCCCAACUAUACCUCAAAAUUGGAUAUCUAUAACAAAAAAUGUACAACAAAACCCCUUGAAGGAGAAAGGGGCUCACCAGACUUUGAGAGGAGGAUACUCCGCUAGGCGCGAUCGACACUAUCCGCUAUAGAGCCACCAACAUUCAUUUAAAAAUAUAGCGCCCCAGCAAAACGGACAUUAGUACACCAUGGAAUAGUACUAGUAUGUAUAACUAAACACCAUUUUAUUAGAAAGAACUAUCAUAUAAUAACAAAGAAAUCACAAGAGACAAUCGAAGCUUUAACCAAACACCACAUCAUCAAAUAAAGAAUCAUACAACUUUCACAUGAUUUUCAUAACCUUAGUUUGGGGCAUUUCAUAUGUUCAUCAUUGUUCACAAUACCACUGUUGUCUUGAGUGGAGUCCGAUUACAACCCGAUCGGCUAGGUUGCCUCAUUUGAGACAUAUACCUCAAUCACCAUCUCAUUUUCCUUUUCUAGGAUUCAAUAUCAGCACAUUACCACCAUAUGUGCAGCAUGGUGUCCGAUCACGGCCCGAUCGGCUAGGCCGCCUUACCUAGGCGUUGUUCCUUUCUCAUUAAUCAUCUUAUUUGAAUCUUUAUUUCACAUAUAUCAUAUCAAUUCAUUAGCACUUAGGGCCACAAUUUCCACAUCAUGUCCACUUUCAAUACAAACAUUGCAAUUUAGAAUAACAGGUGCAAACAAGAGCAAUUCAAGUGUAAACAUAGAUAAAAUUUCACAUAGUUAGCAUGACAAUCUCAGUUUAAAUCCUGACAUUGAGGUCUAGGCAUUCCAACACAUGGUUUAUAUUCUUAAUACAUCUUUAAAUUAGCAAGAAUAGUAUAUUAAACAUUUUGAGGCACCCCUAUCACGUAUACACAGUUGCAAAACCAAUUCACGUGAAAUAAUAAUCAAUUCAUCAAUCCAAUUUCAGUCUUACCACAUUUGCACAAACACCAAUGGAGCUCGAUUUCUAAUAAAAGGGAGUUUUAGCCAUACAUACCUCAAAGAGUUUUCCCCUAUAAUACACCAACACCUCUAGCAAUAACAAUCUAUAAGGAGAUAGCAUAAAUCUAUUAAUAAUUAGGAAGAUUACCCAUGGUGUAACUCUCUUAGGAAUUUCAUCAAACACCUAAUAUGUGGAGUAGANNNNNNNNNNNNNACCUUUGGAAUCUUAGUCUAUUAUGAACUUUUCCCAUUUGGCUUACACUUACGCCUCUCCUUGGACCCCACCUUACUUAUUAUAUGACUAAUAUACUUGUUUACCAAAUCUAAUGCACUUACAUCAUAUCUAUAUCCCAUAAAAUAUUAUAAUUAGUCUACCUGGCACCCCAAAAUCCUAUAUUGCUUCGCAAUACUGAGACUCAUAUUGCAUACCGAGUAAUCUAUACUAACACUCGGGGGAAUCAAACCCAAGUCUAUAUUGAAUAUGCACUAAGCUCACAACAUUGAGAAUGAAAGUCAUGAACGAGUUAUGAAGCUAGAGAAUAGAAGUUCUGCAACUAUUCAAGGAAACUAGGCUUAACUAUAUUUUUGAGGCAAUUGGUAACGUGGUAAAAGAAACAUAGUGUAGGGAGAAUCAUUAACAUUCCCAAACAUAGAGAGUGAGCCUCAUAUACCUUAACUUCCUGCUCUUGAGCGUAAUACAAUAUUCACCAACCGUUUCAACUUCAAUCUAUAUCAAUACAAGUCAAAGGGAUUUCAUAUUAGCGAUAAUACUCAUGUUUUGGUUACUUAGGCAUUUUCUCAAAUACUUGGUAGCAUAAUGCUUCAUGGUCCUUAUUAAUGGUGUCUCUAUACCCAAUAACCUAUUAUGUUACUCCUAGAUAAAUUCUAAAGUCUCAAUUGGUUACAAUCAAUAUCAUUCUUUAUCACCCAUAAGGUAAACAACACCCUUAACAAAUAAUCAACAAUCAACACCCCAAACCUAUAACCGUUCAUGCAUUUAUAUCAAACUCAUAUCUCAUGAACUAGAGUCAAUAAUCAUUAAUCUGAUGCUAGAAUUAAUUAGAGGGUGAAGACAUUACCUUUUGAAGUUCAACCCCCUUGAAUUCGAGUUCUAGGGUUCCUUCUCUCAACAAUGAUGUCCCAAUAGAAUAUAUAAUGAUAUGGAGGCUUUACCCAUGUUAAUAAGAUGUUGGAAAAUUAAAAUUAACUAACAAUCACCAUUAUAACUUACCUUGGGUGGUGGAGGGACCCUUAUGGAGUUAGGUUUUUGAGAGUUCCCCUUUCUAGAGCAAGUUUUUCUUUUUUGGGAAUGUGGGGGAUGAAGUAGGGAUUUAAAAUGAGCCCCCAUGAGUGCCCCCGUGCACUUGUAGGCCUGACCACGCACCUGACCGUGCAAAAUGGCAGUAACACUGCCUCAGGAGCGCGGCCACGCUCAGGGCGUGCAUAUCGCAUACUAUUUUGUAAUACACGCAUAACCUUUUGUACAGAGAUUCAUUUGGGCUCCAAAAUAUAUCGUUGGAAAGCUAUUUCAAUGGCCUAAAACUUUCAUGUUUUGAGGUUGCCCAUAUUCCUUACAUAAUUUCACUAAAUCCUGCUGGAAGACGGACCUUUUGUAAAUUUACUCGAUUUUAUUGAAUCUUAUGCACCUCACUCUCCGUCUUGAUUUCAAAAUAACUAUUUUCACCCAUACUCAUCCUUCUAGGACUUCAUAUGUCUAAAAUAUAAAAUUAAUACCCAUUUAAUAUAUCCACGUCUAGUCCGAAUGUACAGGGUGUUACAAUACUAUUAUCAUCAUAUAUAACAUCAAGUAGUUUAUAUUAUAUUCUACUUUAUUUCCUUGUGUGUGAGGUAAUACUCUGUUCAUCAUCAUACAUCCACAGAUUAUCAACACCGUAGUUCUGUAUAGCGUGUCACAUGCAUCUUGACUGAUUGUGUCGAUUAAUGCGGCAAAAAAUAAUAACUUUGAACUUCUUUUUUUAACCUUCUUAUAAGCAAUUGUUUCGAAUAAUAAAGAGAGAAUAAAUUCAAUGAGUUUGGCAAAAUAACAGUAGAAAACAAGGAGUUGUUAUAACAUGUUGAAGACCUAAAAUAAAUAGAUAAAAGUGUUCCAUAUCUCAUCACUUAAGAAUUUUGAUAAGGUGAUCCCAUAGUAUGAUGGGUAAAAUUAGGUGUCUGAGGUCUUUGGUUCAAGUCUCACCCCUCAUGCAUGCAUUUACACCAAUAUUUUCAUGUUCCUAACUCAAGAAAAAAGAAUCUGACUCUCACAUGAGGAGGGUGCAGGUUGACUUCAUAAAUUCAAGAACUUGAAAAUGAAAUGGAAAAAUUAGGAGACAAAAAAAUAAAAUAACAAUGAAGUUUAGGCUUGUUUUCUUUAUUACUAUCUCACCAAUGCCAUAAAUGACGAAUCAUUAACAAAUUUUAGAGGUGUAAUUUUUAAAAAUCUCUCUGAGAUAUGACGUUUGGCUAAAAAUUCAUGUUUUGCAUGUAAUUUACCUUGUAUUAUGCCUCGAUUUUGCUAACUAUGGUGUGAAUAUUUGUGACUCGAGCUUAAUAAUGUUAUUUAUAUGUGUAGGAGUCAAUUGAAAGUGAUUUGGAAAGCUUGCGUGCAAAUUGAAUUAAAAAGGAAGAAUUUGAAGGAAGUAUGACUUUGGUGCCCAGGUUUACGCCAGGCACCAACCAAAACACCAAGGGCGGCAUAGCACAAACAUGGAAAAGUUUUGAUAUCCAGGUUCGUGCCAGGCCCAAAACGGGACACCCAAGGGUGGAUUACUUCCUAAUUCGGCUAGGACUUAGUAGUUCGACCCUACACGCCCCCAACAUGUAUAAAGGGAUUCUUGUAACGACCCGACUAGUUGUUUUGAAAAAUUACAUUUGGUUCAGUAGUUUGAGGUCAUGAGUAGCUUCAUAUUAUGUGUAUCAACUUUCAUGCAUUGUUGGAUUCUGUUUCCGGAUGAAUCGGAGUCGAAUUGGAAGAAGGAAUCUGGUUUUGGAAGCUUAAGUGGUGAGAAUUUGAGUUUUGAGUAAACAACUCCGGAAUGAGUUUUGGAUGAUGUCAGUAGCUUCGUAUGGUGAUUUUGAACUUAGGCGUGCAUCCGAUUUCAGAUUUGGAGGUCCGUAGGGUAAUUUGAGGCAUUUCGGCGAAAGUUGGAAAAGUUGAAGUUUGGAAAAUGGAGAAAUAUGACUCAUUGUUAACUUUUGUGUUAUCAAGGUCGGAAUGUGAUUCCGAAAGUUUGAAAAACUCCCUUAUGUCAUUUGGGACUUGCCUGCAAAAUUUGGUGUCGUUUGGAGUUGAUUUGAUAUGGUUCGGACGUUUGGUUGCAAUUCCAAAGGUUCUUGAAGUUCAUAAUGAUCUUCCUCAUUUUGGCAUCUGAUUCAUGGUUCUAGAGGUUAUUUUGAUGUUCCGAUUGUGCAAGCGAGUUCGUGUUAUGUGUUCAGACUUGUGUAGGCACUUGGUUUGGAGCCCCGAGGGCUCGAGUGAGUUUCGGAGUGGUUUCGGAAUGGCUUUCAUGAAUUUUGACUUUUCUUGUUCUAGUUUCUUCGCAUUUGCGAUGUUCUGGUCGCAAAUGCGGCCAUCGCAUUUGCGAAGAAUCCUCGUAUUUUCCAUGUCUGGGCGGUUGGGCAUUUUUUGCAUUUGCGAUGAGGCUGCCGCAUUUGCGAAAACCGACCUUCGCAUUUGCGAAGUUUUUGUCGCAAAUGCGACCUUAACAGGGGAGUUUCCAGCUUCGCAAUUGCGGGGUUCGCAUUUGCGACCCCCUAUCACAAAUGCGACAUUUGCAACCAGUUAUGUUCUGAGAAUUUUGAGUUUUUGCUUCAUUUUUCAUAUUUCUGAACCCUAGCUUCGAGGUGAGAUGAUUUUGAGAGGGGAUUUUCAUACCAGAACAUUAGGUAAGUAUCUUUAAUCAAUUUCCAACUAUAUUUUGUGAUUAUAUCUUAGAUUUAACAUCAAAUUUAAGAGAAUCUAAAGGAAAAUUUGGGGAAAAUUGUAAAAUCUUUCAAAAAAAUGUAAAAGGAUGAUUUGAAGGACCAAAUGGUAUCGAAAUUUGAUAAUUUUUGUAUGGGUGAACUCGUAUCGGAAUGGGUAUUCGGUUUAUGUAAAUUCUGUCCAGUUCCGAGGUACGGGCCCAAGGAGUUGACUUUUUACAAAUUGUAUAAGAAUCAUAGCCUUAUUAACUAAAAUUAUUUUCUCUUGCAUUGUUUGAUGUAUUUAAGUCAUUUUUGGCUAGAUGAGCCGAGCAUUGAUGAAUUGGUAAAGAAAAGGCUAAAUUGAGUAUUGAAUUGACCGGAUUGAGGUAAGUAUCUUGCCUAAUCUUGUGUGGGGGACCUCCCCUUAGGAUUUGAGUCUUCUAUGCUAAUUAUAGUCUGUGCAUGCGAGGUGACGAGUGCGUGCUCAGACUUAUUUGUGGAAAAUUUGCCUUUAGGGUUCUUAGGUCCUUAUGUUCAUUAAGUGGGAAGUUUUCUGAUAUGAUUGGGUUUCCUAAUUACUAGUUUUACCUCUGCAUGCUUUAUACGACGUUGUUAGCUUUCCUCUAACUCUUACUUGUUACUUGGCCCUUAUUUGCCUUAAUUAAAGUGAUUGUCCUCCUUAUUGUUUUAUUAUUUCUUAAUUGUGAAUUCCUCUAUGACCCCGUGCAUAUAUGCUACGUGUCCAAAUUAUUGUGGUUUCAUGUGUAGUUAUCACGUGUCAUACAUGUCUUGUUGUUUUUGUAAAGGUUGUUGUGCUUAUUGAUUUUUCUGUGAUUCUCUUGUUACCGUGUGCUCAUACUCUUGAUGGUAGAAAUUCUUGUAAUUGGGCUGUUGAAUUGUUGUUGUUGAUUUAAACUAUGUCUGGUUGUUGAUAUGUUGAGGAGGAAUAAGGGAGAAUUGAUAUUGUCUGGUGGGAUCAGGUUGCACGCUGCAACAAGGAGUAAUAAUGGUAGAUAGGUGGGAUCGGGUUGCACGCUGCAAUAGGAGGAAUAAGGGUGAUAUAUUGAGGAGUAAUAAGGGUAGACUGGUAGAAUCAGGUUGCACGCCGCAACACAGAGUAAUAAGGGUGAAUGUUCAUAUUGCUACUGAUAUGGUGAGAUCGGGUUGCACGCUGCAACAUAUAUAUACUAUUUACUUGUAUUUUAAUUGUUACGGAGGAAUAAGGGAGGAUUGGUGGGAUCAGGAUGCGCGCUGCAUCAAUAUAUGUGCUUAUGUACUCCUCUCUGACUGUGUAAAUUAUUCGGUAGUUUUACCUCUCACUUAGGGAUUGGUUAUAGCUGGACACUGAUAAGACCCUUGAGUUAUGUAAUUAUUUCUGCAAGUUACCAAUUUUCAAAGUAAAUUUAUUACGUUGAAACAUUUCCUCCUGUCCUGCUAAGUUGUUAGCAACAUAGUGAUUUAAAGUAAAGGAAUUUAUACUACGCUGCUUCAUAUGACUUUUAUAUUUGAACUCGCCGUAUAUAUAUAUAUAUAUAUAUAUAUAUAUAUAUAUAUAUACAUUUCAAUACUUCAAAUUCCAAUGAUUGUUAUAUUUUACUUUAAUUAGUUUCUCAACUAAAUUUCCUUAACCGUUUGAGAUUAAAUUUUACUUAAAAGGAAAAUUCUAUAAAGUUUUAAUUUAAUAAAUUCUAUAUUAAAGGCAAUAAUUUAUUUGAUGUUGUAUUUUAUUUGAAAAUGUUAUUUUCUUCAUUCAAAUGAUUUCUAAAAAUAACUCCAUCUUUUCUUGCUGAUUUCCUAAUUAGUUUAGAAGCUGUAAUUUAUUUCACGUUAUAUAAAUGAGACCCUUGAACAUCUUAAUUACAUUGGUUACGGACAUUAUGUACUGAUAGCACGUGGAUUUGUUGUGCAAAGUGAGAUGGAAAUAUGUAGGCACAUGGUGCCAAGUUUGUUAAAGGUUUGGGAGUUUUGGUUAUGAUAUGAGACUUCGAGGUUUGAGAUGGUCGGAGUUUGUGUAAUAAGAAUGAGGUGAUUGAUUGAGUUAACAUCGCUAUUCUUAUUUGAGCACAUUUUUACUUGUCUGUGUCCCAGCUAUGUUGGUGUUAAUUUACUUGGUUAUAUUUUAUUACCAUCCGUCUUUUCCUUUAUUGUCUCUACUAUUGUAGUUUGAUUUCUUCUUGCUUUAGAUAUUACUACGUCAUCUUUAUCUUGAUAGUUUAUUAUCAUAUCCUGUUCAAUUUAUUUGACCAGUAGGUGUCUUAAUUGUUCCUCGUCACUACUCCACCGAGGUUAUUCUUGAUACUUACUGGGCACCACUGUGGUCUGCUCAUACUACACUUCUGUACAUUUUUCACAGAUCCAGGUAUUUGAUCGAUAGUGUUGUGCUUAUCAUCGCGGUGGAGACUCAAGGUAACCCUGUUGCUGCGUUCGUAGGCCUCGGAGUCACCUUCAUUUGUACUUAUUUCCAUUGGUUCCUUUUGUUCUGGAACAGUGAUGUAUUUAUCAUGUAUAACUACUCCUAGAAAG